AUAUCGACGGUGCGGUUCGCUACCUCGAUGUCGGCUCACCGCAUCCUGGGGCUGGAGAAGGUCCCAAGGGUUGGUCUGUUCGCCCAUUAAAGCGGUACGCGAGCUGGGUUCAGAACGUCGUGAGACAGUUGAGUCCGAUAACAUAUCGGACUGACACCAAGCGGUCUCAUCCCUUGACUGACUGAAAUACACAUCGAAGGAUUAGUAACUAAUUUGUUAUCAACAAUCGUUUAUAAGGAUAUAUUAAACGGUUUAAUUUAAAUAUUUAAAUUUGAUCUUUUUGUCUAAAUAGGAAAGAGGGAAUAUAAAUCUGACUAUAUGCUGGAAACUCCGGUGUAUCCUGUGCUACUCUUGAAAAAGAGUGAAAAAGCAACAGGUGCGGACAAUCAGCAGGAAAGGCCUCAUUAGAUAUGGAAUUAUCUAAUGGGGAAUCCUCAACGACUAUACGUCAGAAUACGUUCAGUUUACAUGAACGUAUAAGAUAUAGUCUGAUCUCCAUGGCGACUUGGAGGGUUGAAAAUCGUUCAGCCGUAAAAACAAGCGGAGUAUUGAUAUACUAAAUGUCGGACUCUAUCCGGUGGAAGCGUUCGAGUCUUGAAGGGAGCUGGCCUCAGUACGAGAGGACCAGGCCGGGGGAAUCCCUGGUGUGCCGGUUGUGGCAUCAGCCGCAACGCCGGGUAGCUACAUUCCCAAGGGAUAACCGCUGAAAGCAUAUAAGUGGGAAGCCCCCCCUAAGAUUAGGACUCGUUAUUAGAUCCCUAGAAGAAUACUAGGUUGUUCGACAGGCGGUGGAAGUCGCGUAAGCGAUUAAGCCUACCUUGUACGAAUCGAUCGAUUUCAGACUUAC
rnacentral:ncRNA from 1 species